AGAUUGAACGCUGGCGGCAGGCCUAACACAUGCAAGUCGAGCGGUAGAGAGGUGCUUGCACCUCUUGAGAGCGGCGGACGGGUGAGUAAUGCCUAGGAAUCUGCCUAGUGGUGGGGGAUAACGUUCGGAAACGGACGCUAAUACCGCAUACGUCCUACGGGAGAAAGCGGGGGACCUUCGGGCCUCGCGCCAUUAGAUGAGCCUAGGUCGGAUUAGCUAGUUGGUGAGGUAAUGGCUCACCAAGGCGACGAUCCGUAACUGGUCUGAGAGGAUGAUCAGUCACACUGGAACUGAGACACGGUCCAGACUCCUACGGGAGCAGCAGUGGGAAUA
rnacentral:rRNA from 1 species